rnacentral:rRNA from 1 species
CCUACGGGAGGCAGCAGUAGGGAAUCUUCCACAAUGGGCGAAAGCCUGAUGGAGCAACGCCGCGUGGGUGAACAAGGUCUUCGGAUCGUAAAACCCUGUUGUUAGAGAAGAAAGUGCGUGAGAGUAACUGUUCACGUUUCGACGGUAUCUAACCAGAAAGCCACGGCUAACUACGUGCCAGCCGCCGCGGUAAUACGUAGGUGGCAGGCGUUAUCCGGAUUUAUUGGGCGUAAAGGGAACGCAGGCGGUCUUGUAAGUUUGGUGUGAAAGCCGUGGGCUUAACCGGAGUAGUGCAUUGGAAACUGGGAGACUGGAGUGCAGAAGAGGAGAGUGGAACUCCAUGUGUAGCGGUGAAAUGCGUAGAUAUAUGGAAGAACACCAGUGGCGAAAGCGGCUCUCUGGUCUGUAACUGACGCUGAGGUUCGAAAGCGUGGGUAGCAAACAGGAUUAGAUACCCUAGUAGUC